rnacentral:rRNA from 1 species
AUGAGGGGCAGCACGUUGCGUCCAGACGUCUCCGCCGCCGGCCUCUCUACACUCCGCUCCCCAGUCCCCACCUCCUCCGGUCCUCCCGCACGGCCGCUCCUCCGCGACGACACCAACCGUCCAGAAGCGGAGUCGCCGCCUCGACCCGGGGUCCCCCCGUCCCCAUCGUGGUCAGCACCACGCACAUCCCGAGGCACCACCCGCUCGUUGUCGGCACGCCCGAGCCUGCCAAGAAGGAGGCCGUGCCGCGGAGGGGCUCCUGGGGCCGAGAAGCAUAGUGGCGCCGGCGAUGCCGGGGUGCUCGCAUCACCCAAGGUUGUCAGGCCCAUCGCGCUCAACUUCGAGGAGAAGACGCCCGUCAAGGAGCGGCCCUCGCCAGCGCGGAGCUCGGCGUUGGUCAAGAAGAGCACCACCAUCAUGCACAGGCUGGUGACACACGGCUGGAGCUUCGUCGCCGACAGGGCAACCCACCUCCUCCUCCACAGAACAAGAUCCCAAAGGGCCGGUUCCACCUGAGAAGAGCUCGAUGAGCUACACGGCUCACGCACCAUGAGCAGGAGGCCCAGGGAGAAGGAGCCCUCCUUGCUGGUCUCCGACGACCGGCGUCGGCAGCACAACUGCCUCCCCCAAGAGGAGGCCCUCCUUGUCGGCCUCUCCCGUGCUGGUGCUAGGGAAGCUCAAUGCUCUCGACAAGGCAAGUGA